GAUGAAGAACGCAGCGAAAUGCGAUAAGUAAUGUGAAUUGCAGAAUUCAGUGAAUCAUCGAAUCUUUGAACGCACAUUGCGCCCGCCAGUAUUCUGGCGGGCAUGGCUGUUCGAGCGUCAUUACAACCCUCAGGCCCCCGGGCCUGGCGUUGGGGAUCGGCGGAGCCCCCCGUGGGCACACGCCGUCCCCCAAAUGCAGUGGCGGUCCCGCCGCAGCUUCCAUCGCGUAGUAGCUAACACCUCGCGACUGGAGAGCGGCGCGGCCACGCCGUAAAACACCCAACUCUUCUGAAGUUGACCUCGAAUCAGGUAGGAAUACCCGCUGAACUUAAGCAUAUCAAUAAGCGGAGGA
rnacentral:misc_RNA from 1 species